AGAGUUUGAUCCUGGCUCAGGACGAACGCUGGCGGCGUGCCUAACACAUGCAAGUCGAACGGAGUUAAGCCCUUCGGGACUUAGCUUAGUGGCGAACGGGUGAGUAACGCGUGAGCAACCUACCUUUCAGUGGGGGACAACAGUUGGAAACGACUGCUAAUACCGCAUGAAACUUAUCGGGGGCAUCCCUGAAAAGUCAAAGCUUUAUGUGCUGAAAGAUGGGCUCGCGUCUGAUUAGCUGGAUGGCGGGGUAACGGCCCACCAUGGCGACGAUCAGUAGCCGGUCUGAGAGGAUGAACGGCCACAUUGGGACUGAGAUACGGCCCAGACUCCUACGGGAGGCAGCAGUGGGGAAUAUUGGGCAAUGGGGGAAACCCUGACCCAGCAACGCCGCGUGAAGGAAGAAGGCCUUCGGGUUGUAAACUUCUUUUACCAGGGACGAAGGACGUGACGGUACCUGGAGAAAAAGCAACGGCUAACUACGUGCCAGCAGCCGCGGUAAUACGUAGGUUGCAAGCGUUGUCCGGAUUUACUGGGUGUAAAGGGCGUGUAGGCGGAGGAGCAAGUCAGAUGUGAAAUCCCGGGGCUCAACCCCGGAACUGCAUUUGAAACUGUUUCCCUUGAGUAUCGGAGAGGCAAGCGGAAUUCCUAGUGUAGCGGUGAAAUGCGUAGAUAUUAGGAGGAACACCAGUGGCGAAGGCGGCUUGCUGGACGACAACUGACGCUGAGGCGCGAAAGCGUGGGGAGCGAACAGGAUUAGAUACCCUGGUAGUCCACGCUGUAAACGAUGAAUACUAGGU
rnacentral:rRNA from 1 species